ensembl:lncRNA
UGAAGAGUUUCUCAAUUUAAUGUAUGAUCUCUGCCUCAACUGUUACUUUGAUCCACAAUCUGGGAAAUAUUAUGAACUGCUCUGAUCCCGAGAUGAGUUACAUCUACAACCAUGUUAUUCAAUACUGCCAUAUACAUGUAUGUUUUAGUUGAAGCAUGUUGUCCUUCAUAACAUUUAAUAAUUUUAAUGGAGAUUUGGGAUUUAAAGUGUUUUUUUUUUUUUUCUAACUGUUUCUGUUUUUUAGUAAUAAAUUUACAUUCAAUCUUGUUUGAGCUCAUAAUAGAAGUAAAUUUUUCAGUAAGUAAGAAAUAAACUCAUAUUGUUGAAUCCAUUUCAGUGUUUAUUAGUCCUCCUAACUUUUUUUAUUCAAACUUAUAAAAUAGUUCCUAGACAAUUAUGUAAAACGUACAAAAAUAAUAGAAUACCUGCUAUAUAAUUAAAUUCGCAGGUUUUAAAUUAAUCUAUUUUUUUUAAAGUGAUCCUUCAGUGUACUGUUGACGGAAGUCUUCGCGUUGCCUCACGAUCGGCCAAUCAUACACCAGUUACUCCUUUACGUCAUUUGACAGGUAGAAUCACUAGGAAGUAAACAUCUAUAAUGGCGAUAAAGUCGUUCAAGUUAAGCCACUCCUCAAAUAUGUUACUAAAUGUGAUUUUAUUUAGUAUUUUUAAUGCGUUCGCCUUUGCCUUUCCGUCAUACCGCGACUCCAGACAGGCAGAAAGUUUGGAGAAACCCACCUCAGCAAUAAAUGUUCAACAGGUUGGUUAUCGACUUUCUUGCGUCAGUCUUUUCGCUAUUAGUUUGCAUACUUAACAUCCACGGUCUUGUUUCGCAGGGUGCAAGACUCCAUUUCGCAGUAAUCGCGUCUGUUGUGAUCGUUAUUGUAGCUGCAGCAGCAGCUGCUGUCUUCAUUAUCCGGAAAUACUGCUGUCCGCAGAGUAAUAUAACAUAUAGAUACUCAGAGCUGCGACAAAUGGAAGCACAAAAUGCAGCCAGAGAAGAGGACAAUGAUUCAGAUGAGGUUAGUAUGCAUGGCACUUUAAAAUUACUAAUAAUAGCCUUAUAUAUACUUAAUUACUUUUUAUUCUUACUCUGGAUGUUCUUUCCACAGGACCUUUUGGAGUGAAUCAUGUAGCAUAAUUUAUCCUUGACGCUUCUCUUCCUUUUUAAUGCUGUGACAUUAUAUGGCCAAAAGCAUCACACGGGUCAUUUAAAAACCACCAGGAGUUUCUGAAAUAUUUAUAUCUGUUCCACCAUUUUUCAGAAUGGAUAUAUCCACCAACCAGUUAAAAUUAGCUUUUUAAAUUUGGCAAGAUUGGAAGGAUGAAAGAUGCUCAUUAGAGAUAAAAGUUACUAUGAUUUACUUGCAGGCAAAUAACUUAUGAAAAGAGCUGUUAUGGUUACUGUACCUGAUGCUUAAAACUUGGUCAAUAUUGGAACUACUUUUUAAAUGCACUCCUUGAAGAACUUGUUUAGUAUUUUCUUGAAUUUCUCAAUGCAAGGCAUGCUGUACCAAAGUCUGUUGAAAUGAUUGUAUUUAUUGUGCCUGACUUUUUCUUGAUUUUAAAACCGCUUUAUGAUCUCAGGGUUGUUCCCACUUGAUACUGUGAACAGUGCCACCGAUACCAGAAGCACAUCUGAAUAAGCAUUUUACUGUAAACCAGUCUUAUCAAUUGCAACGAUGCUGUAGUUUGCACUAGUUUGCAAUAAUCUGCACUCAUAUGCUGGUAAAAGUGAAAAAAAUGUACUAAUGGCAGUGUUUGAUAUCACCUCUAUUUUAAUAUGACAAUGUUGAUGGGGAAUUAUUAUGUGCAGUCCAGAGCUCCAUAAUGGUGUUUCUAUGAGCUCAGUUCAUGCUGGGAAGUAUUUUUGAUGAUGGAAUUAUGUAUCUUUAGAUUUUCAUAUUCUCACCUUCUUAUCUGAGACUGAACUAUACUGACUACUUAAAAAAAAACAGUUUGUGUAACUGAGAAGGAAUAAAAUGAUAUACUUAAUAUUGCUUGUGUGGUUG